AAAACAAACAUAAAAACCCAACAGAAUAAGUUUGCCAACCUGAGUACAGGAAGACCCUUAGGAGUAGUUAAAUUUUAACUUUAAAGAAAAUUUGUCUCACCUAAGAAAGAACGAAGGUCGGUAGGCUCAAUGAGACUUAAGUAAAACUAGCGCCACCAAAGUCUUGCUUCCUCCUCUCUCCUUGUCCCUUCCCCAUGCAGCCAUCGCGCUCCUCAAGGACCAGGAGCCAGGGGCCUUCAUCAUCCGCGACAGUCACUCCUUCCGAGGCGCCUACGGGCUGGCCAUGAAGGUGUCUUCGCCACCUCCAACCAUCAUGCAGCAGAAUAAAAAAGGAGACAUGACCCAUGAGCUGGUCCGGCAUUUUCUGAUAGAGACCGGCCCCAGAGGAGUCAAGCUCAAGGGCUGCCCCAAUGAGCCAAACUUCGGAUCACUGUCUGCCCUGGUCUACCAGCACUCCAUCAUCCCAUUGGCCCUGCCUUGCAAGCUGGUCAUUCCAAACCGAGACCCCACAGAUGAAUCAAAAGAUAGCUCCGGCCCUGCCAACUCAACUGCAGACCUGCUGAAGCAAGGGGCAGCCUGCAACGUGCUCUUCGUCAACUCUGUGGACAUGGAGUCACUCACUGGGCCACAGGCCAUCUCUAAAGCCACAUCUGAGACAUUGGCUGCAGACCCCACGCCAGCUGCCACCAUCGUUCACUUCAAAGUCUCUGCCCAGGGAAUCACUCUGACUGACAACCAGAGAAAGCUCUUUUUCAGACGCCACUACCCCCUCAACACUGUCACCUUCUGUGACCUGGAUCCACAGGAAAGAAAGUGGAUGAAAACAGAGGGUGGUGCCCCUGCUAAGCUCUUCGGCUUCGUGGCCCGGAAGCAGGGCAGUACCACGGACAACGCCUGCCACCUCUUUGCUGAGCUUGACCCCAACCAGCCGGCCUCUGCCAUCGUCAACUUCAUCUCCAAGGUCAUGCUGAACGCCGGCCAAAAGAGAUGAACCCUGCCCCUUGCCCAGGGCCAGUGCCAUGGGGAAGGGGUGCGUGCCGAGGGGACCCAUGAAUCCUGACCACUCUUGAACCCAGAAGGAGGACUUUGGGCCAAUUUCGGAGGAGAGAAGAAAGUGCAACGUGGGGAGAGGGAAGUGAACUGCAGAGGGGAGGGGGAAGAGAGAGAGAGAGAGAGAGAGAGAGAGAGAGAAAGAAAAAGAUGGAGGAGAAGAACUUGGAUUCCCCUGGGUAGAUGGAAACUGCAAAAACCCAAAGCCUCCAAAACUAACCAGGUCCGCCUAACACCCCCUCCCUCCCCCAAGAAGAUGGAUGUCCUCAAAAGAGAAGGAAAAAACCUCCUUGGGAAUCCACAUUUUUGGGGGGAAUGGAAAAGCUCUGUCUCCCUAACUCAACUGCUUUGCAAGGGGAAGUCAAGCUGGGAGAAUCUUUUUCUGGCCACCUGUAGGGUAGAUUGUCAAACCAAACAGAGCCACCGUGGGACAUCAAGUGGCAGAACUUGUUCACUUGAAAGUAUCUCAGACCCAAGGCACCUCAGGUCUCUUUGCCGUGCCUCCACUCUAUUGUCGUGUGGGUGUGUGUCUGCACCCACAUCCUCAUAAAUUGAUCUAGAUCUGCCUUUAUCCACUCAAAUUAUAAACAGCUCGGCUUGUCCUUG
rnacentral:sRNA from 1 species